rnacentral:rRNA from 1 species
GACGAACGCUGGCGGCGUGCUUAACACAUGCAAGUCGAACGGAAAGGCCCUGCUUUUGUGGGGUGCUCGAGUGGCGAACGGGUGAGUAACACGUGAGUAACCUGCCCUUGACUUUGGGAUAACUUCAGGAAACUGGGGCGAAUACCGGAUAGGAGCUCCUGCUGCAUGGUGGGGGUUGGAAAGUGUCGGCGGUUGGGGAUGGACUCGCGGCUUAUCAGCUUGUUGGUGGGGUAGUGGCUUACCAAGGCUUUGACGGGUAGCCGGCCUGAGAGGGUGACCGGCCACCUUGGGACUGCGAUACGGCCCAGACUCCUACGGGAGGCAGCAGUGGGGAAUAUUGCACAAUGGGCGGAAGCCUGAUGCAGAAACGCCGCGUGCGGGAUGACGGCCUUCGGGUUGUAAACCGCUUUCGCCUGUGACGAAGCGUGAGUGACGGUAAUGGGUAAAGAAGCACCGGCUAACUACGUG